AACUCUAUGACAUUGGUCUUGCCAGUAAUUUCUUGGAUAUGACACCAAAAAGCACAGGCAACAAAAGCAAAAAUGGCCAAGUGGAACUGUGUUAAACUAACAGCUCCUGCACAGCAGAGGGAAACAUGAAAAGAGUGAAAAGGCAGCCUGUGGAAUGGGAGAAAACAUCUGGAGGCUAUUUCUGACAAGGGAUUGAUUUCCAAAAUACGUAAGGAACCCCUGCAACUCAAUAGCAAGAAAACUGGUGACGUGAAAAAUGGACCAAAGACUUGAAUAGACAUGUCUCCAAAGAAGACAUACAAAUAUCCAGCAGGUGUAUGGAAAUGUGCUUAACAUACUAACCAUCAAGGAAAGGCAAACAAAAACCACAGUGAGAUACCAUCUCCUAGCUGAUGGGACCACUGUUACCAGAAAGCCCCAAGAUAACAAGCGCUGGGGAGGGUGUGGGGAACCUGGAACCCUCGUGCACUGUUGGGGGGAUGCAAAAUGCCACAACCGUUACAGAAAACUGGAGGCCUCAAAACAUGAAAAACAGAAUCACCAUAUGAUCUAGCAGUUCCACUUACAGGUCUUGAUUCAAAAGAAUCAAAAUGGGUAUUUUGAAGAGAGACCUGUACUCCUAGUGUUCCUUGCAGCACUGUUCACAAUAGCCAAGUGAACAGAUAAAGAAAAUGAAGUGUAUACCUGCAGUAGGAUGCUGUGCAUGCAGCCUGAAGGAAGGAAAUCCUGCCAUUCGUGACAACGUGGGUGACCAUGAAGGAGAUUAUGCAAAAUGAAAUAAGCCAGACACAGAAAGAAACUGCAUGGUUCCACUUAAAUGUGAUAUCCAGCAUAGACCCACAGAAGUAAAGGGUGGAAUGGCGGUCAUCAGGGGAUUGGGGGAGAGGGAAAUGGGGAGCUACUUAAUCAAUGGGAUGAAAUUUCAUUAAACAAGAUGAGAAUGUUCUAGAGAUAUGCCGUACUACAUGGUACCUGUAGUCAACAAUAAUGUAGACUUAGAAAUGUGUUAAGCGGUGGCUCUCAUGUUAACUCUUCUUACCACAAUAAAAUAAGCACUUAGACCUUGGCCCUCGUUCAAGGCAUCCUCCGGAGGUGAGGCAGGGGCUCUUGUAAGUGGCACCACUGGCCUUGCCGGACCCCAGCCUAAGCCCUUCCCUGCUUCCCCAUUUCCUUUUGGUUGAAUCCAGAAAAAACCUGGUCCCAUCUGGCUUCACUUCCUGCCACCCGGUGCUAGCGCCCUGGCCUCUCCGUUGUUGAGAACUGAUUGCCAUCGGCCUUUGCACAGGGCCAGUGCAUGUGGCUCUUGGUGCAAGUGGCACCCCUGGCAUUGUGCAGUUCCUGGUGUGCCACACAGUAGACCCUGUGCUGACGACCAGCCAUGGCCUUUUCUGUCAUCUAAGAACUUAUAGAUGUUUGUCAGUUUGCUUUACUUUUUUUCUUUGUACUCACAAAAGUAAUGGUCUGGCAGUUUUUUAAAAGGCAGGGGAGCAAACAGUACAGGAAUGAAAGAAGAGGCCGUUUUCCUUUGUACUUAGGAAACGUGCAUCCCCAGCAGCUGUCACAAUGCCAGAGGCUGCUUCUUCCUUCGUCUUGCCUGGCCCCUGCCUGGGUCCUGCCAGGCUUCCCCUGAACUCACACGGAAGCUCAGAUGACCAGCUUAGGCAGGGUGGAUGGCCUUCCAAGCUUUGGCCAGGUUACCACGACUGGAAGGAGGAAGUGGUAACUCCAAAGUUGGCUUCUCCUCGGGGUGGUCGGCUUUUCUGCCCAGGAGGCUGGGUAGUGGAAUUUCUGGGUUCUUCUGUGGAAUAGAGACCCGCCCUUGGGCCCUCAAACUCAACACUGGGCGAAGUGCAGCGUGUUGCUUGUGUGUAGCAUGGCCACUGCACCCACCGUCCCCUUCACCCUGUUUCCCUGUGAGACGGGUGUGGCAGAGCCUGCAUCCCUCCUCCAGCUGGGGAGGCAGAAGUGCAGAAGCUUCGGGUGACCUCCUGAGGGGUGUCUGCCUAGCCAGGGACGUCUCCAUUCCCCACGGGCAGGGCCGCUGUCUGCCUCGCAGCCCAUGGGGCUCUGCUGGCGUGAACGCGGCCUUGCAGGGUGGCAGAGGGAGAGCGAGCAGCGGGGGCAGGGGAGGAGCACAGGGUAUGCAGUUCGGUCAUAAACUCACUGCUUAGAUGGAGUUACUAAGGAGUUAGAAAGCAAUGCUUACUGCUGUAUCAUAUUUGAGUGAUUUUUUCUGGUUCUUCUAAAACCUAAACAUGGGGUAAAAAUGACUUACCUUCACGUUAGUCAUGAAAUCUUAUGCUGUGAUUAUGUCUCUUUUUUAUUUUAACUGUAGCAUCGGUGUGUGGCUAUUUUUAAAGACAAACAGAACAAGCCUACUGGUUUUGCCCUGGGAAGUAUCGAGGGGAGAGUUGCUAUUCACUAUAUCAACCCCCCGAACCCGUAAGUGUGACUCUGUCAGCUUGCAGAUUUCACUGGACUUUUUUUUAACAAAGGAAGACUUACAUGAACCUUUGUCUUUCAGCGCCAAAGAUAACUUCACCUUUAAAUGUCAUCGAUCUAAUGGAACCAACACUUCAGCUCCUCAGGACAUUUACGCGGUGAAUGGAAUCGCGUUCCAUCCUGUUCAUGGCACCCUUGCAACUGUGGGAUCUGAUGGUAGAUUCAGCUUCUGGGACAAAGAUGCCAGAACAAAACUAAAAACUUCGGAACAGUUAGAUCAGCCCAUCUCAGCUUGCUGUUUCAAUCACAAUGGAAACAUAUUUGCGUACGCUUCCAGCUACGACUGGUCAAAGGGACAUGAAUUUUAUAAUCCCCAGAAAAAAAAUUACAUUUUCCUGCGUAAUGCAGCCGAAGAGCUAAAGCCCAGGAAUAAGAAGUAGUGGCUGGAGACUCUGGCUCAGCCAGAGUUGUUUCUCUCCACUCUGCCUCAUCUCUGUACGAAUUUGGGUCCCAGCCUUGUUGGGUUGUCAGCCAUGGACAUGGAUUUCAACCCCUGGAGAAAAUGAUGUCAUUGUUCAGCAGCUGAGAGCCCAGGCGUCCGCGGCGACUUGCCGUCUCUCCAUUCCACUGCCUGUUGCAGAGUUUUUCUGUAACUAAGGGGGUUGAGGUUAUUGUAGAUUGCGGGCACCGCCAGGGAUUUUGCAGCGCUUCAGUGUACGUGUUAGAGAAUAUUGGAAAAGCGUCUGUGAGCCCCGUGCUGUAUUUUGUAAUAAAGUCUUUUGCAGAUUGCUUUCCGA
rnacentral:sRNA from 1 species